rnacentral:rRNA from 1 species
UGCCGGCGCCGCCCGCGCGAGGUCCGCGCUUCGNCUAGGAUGCUGGCGUAAUGGUCGCAUGCGCCCCGUCUUGAAACACGGACCAAGGAGUCUCACAUCUGUGCGAGUGUUCGGGUGUCAAACCCCUACGCGGAAUGAAAGUGAAACGAAGGUGGGAGCUUCGGCGCACCAUCGACCGAUCCUGAUGUCCUCGGAUGGAUUUGAGUAAGAGCAUAGCUGUUGGGACCCGAAAGAUGGUGAAGCUAUGCCUGAAUAGGGGUGAAGCCAGAGGAAACCUCUGGUGGAGGCUCGCAGCGGUUCUGACGUGCAAAUCGAUCGUCAAAUUUGGGUAUAGGGGGCAAAGACUAAUC